ACCAUCAAUAGGUGAAACUGCCAGAUGAUCUGGCCUUUCCCUAGAGAUGGAGGUCAAGGAAAGUUCAGAUCAUGCUGGCAGCUUCAACUACUACUAGUG
rnacentral:pre_miRNA from 1 species